UGCAUGUUACCUCAUUCGUACACUAUAUUACUUCAAUCAUGUUUCUUGUUACUUCAUUUUUCAGAUUGUUCAUAGUACUUCAUUCUUAUACUUUAUUACUUCAUUCAUGUUGCUUGUUACUUCAUUCAAUAGGUGUUCUUCCCCAUAUGUGCAAAUCAACAUUAUUAUGUUGUUUGUUUUUGCUUCAAGAGAAACGCUAUUGUUGUAAUAGACAAUUCUGCAAACGGGGAUGACAAUGACCUCACAAUAAAUUAUGGUCACAUUCCAGAAACAUUGAGAUCAUACUUUUGUCACUUCCUCGCCAAGAAUAGUCUCCACGCAUACUGUAAGAUCGUGUCCAACUUCAAAAUGCAGAGAUUGAAUAUGCCAUGGAGGACAGUUGAUAACGUUGAAGACUGUGGAGUAUUUCUGAUGCCGCAUAUGGAAACGUACAAGGGUGAGCGUGAAGGUUGCUGGAACUGUGGCUUGAAGAAUCAAGUUCGGGGGUGCUGCAGAGCUUGAGGGCCAAAUAUUGUUCGGCGCUGAUGUUAGCCCAAAACAGCCAUGAGAGCUUUAACAACAAAAAUGUUACAGCGGCGUAUUACGAAGAGGAAAGCAAACACAUUGAAAUUGAUGUUGAGAAAAUGAUUGCAGCGUAUAUAAAGAAGAAAUGAUGAUUUUAGUAGAUCAAGUUUUGUAUUCGACAUACAUCUGUUAUGAGCCAUUUUGAAAUAAA